UACGUAGGGGGCAAGCGUUGUCCGGAAUCAUUGGGCGUAAAGCGCGUGUAGGCGGUUACGUAAGUCUGCUGUGAAAGUCGGAGGCUCAACCUUCGAAAGCCGGUGGAUACUGCGUGACUAGAGUACGGAAGAGGAGAGUGGAAUUCCUGGUGUAGCGGUGAAAUGCGCAGAUAUCAGGAGGAACACCAACGGCGAAGGCAGCUCUCUGGGCCAUUACUGACACUGAGAAGCGAAAGCAUGGGGAGCGAACAGG
rnacentral:rRNA from 1 species